rnacentral:rRNA from 1 species
GUAAAGUUUUAUCCUAGCUUGUUCUUUCAUUUUUAGGUUAAUGGUACAUGUAAAUUUUAAUGUUACAACAUAUUUUGUUAAAACUAAAGGUUAACAAAUGGUCUAAAAGUAGAGGUUUCUUUAAGAAAUAAAUUCUCAGUACCUAGUGCUAAUCAAUAAAUAUACGUUAGAAUUGGUAAUCCUAAUUAUAUACCUGGUUAAAAUUUGUGCCAGCAGCCGCGGUUAGACUGAGAGGUAAAAUGAAAGAAAUUUGGUUAAAAACAGUUAUAUUUAUUAAUUUUUUUCUUUUAAAGGACUAUAUUAAUAAAGGGUGAAAUCAGUUUUUUAAUAAAUAGUAAAAUAAAAGUCUUAAUUUUAAUUGAAG